GUCCUUGGUUUCUCUUCAGAUCGUAUAAAUCUUUCGCCUUUUACUAAAGAUUUCCGUGGAGAGGAACAUUUAUGAGUUUCUACCCAAUUUUUGGGGACCUUAGGUGGGGGCC